rnacentral:rRNA from 1 species
UACAGAGGGUGCAAACGUUGUUCGGAAUUACUGGGCGUAAAGCGUGUGUAGGCGGCCACGUAAGUCGGAUGUGAAAGCCCCGGGCUCAACUCGGGAAGUGCACUCGAUACUGCGUGGCUUGAGUACUGGAGAGGUUGGUGGAAUUCUCGGUGUAGAGGUGAAAUUCGUAGAUAUCGAGAGGAACACCGGUGGCGAAGGCGGCCAACUGGACAGAUACUGACGCUGAGACACGAAAGCGUGGGGAGCAAACAGG